GUGAAACCCGAUUCCUGAUCGUAACAGUUUCCUGACUGAAAAAGGACUCCAGUUGAUUUCCUUCUCGAGAGAUUAUUUUGUGACUGAGUGGCGGACGGGUGAGUAACGCGUGGGUAACCUGCCUUGUACAGGGGGAUAACAGUUGGAAACGGCUGCUAAUACCGCAUAAGCGCACGGCAUCGCAUGAUGCAGUGUGAAAAACUCCGGUGGUAUAAGAUGGACCCGCGUUGGAUUAGCUAGUUGGUGAGGUAACGGCCCACCAAGGCGACGAUCCAUAGCCGACCUGAGAGGGUGACCGGCCACAUUGGGACUGAGACACGGCCCAAACUCCUACGGGAGGCAGCAGCGGGGAAUAUUGCACAAUGGGCGAAAGCCUGAUGCAGCGACGCCGCGUGAGCGAAGAAGUAUUUCGGUAUGUAAAGCUCUAUCAGCAGGGAAGAUAAUGACGGUACCUGACUAAGAAGCACCGGCUAAAUACGUGCCAGCAGCCGCGGUAAUACGUAUGGUGCAAGCGUUAUCCGGAUUUACUGGGUGUAAAGGGAGCGCAGGCGGUGCGGCAAGUCUGAUGUGAAAGCCCGGGGCUCAACCCCGGUACUGCAUUGGAAACUGUCGUACUAGAGUGUCGGAGGGGUAAGCGGAAUUCCUAGUGUAGCGGUGAAAUGCGUAGAUAUUAGGAGGAACACCAGUGGCGAAGGCGGCUUACUGGACGAUAACUGACGCUGAGGCUCGAAAGCGUGGGGAGCAAACAGGAUUAGAUACCCUGGUAGUCCA
rnacentral:rRNA from 2 species